rnacentral:rRNA from 1 species
UACAGAGGUCUCAAGCGUUGUUCGGAUUCAUUGGGCGUAAAGGGUGCGUAGGUGGCGCGGUAAGUCGGGUGUGAAAUCUCGGAGCUUAACUCCGAAACUGCAUUCGAUACUGCCGUGCUUGAGGACUGGAGAGGAGACUGGAAUUUACGGUGUAGCGGUGAAAUGCGUAGAUAUCGUAAGGAAGACCAGUGGCGAAGGCGGGUCUCUGGACAGUUCCUGACGCUGAGGCACGAAGGUCAGGGGGAGCAAACGGG